GCUGCACCGGCGCUGCCCUGCGGGACCUGGCGCUUAUUUUGCUUUGCUACCUGUGGUACCUCAGAGCUUGUGCCGUGGAUUCGGCAACCUGUCGCUGAUUCCGCAGCAGUAACCCCCCCUCCCGGAGAGGCUCGUGCGAUUUUGGCUCAUGGCUCUCAACUUGCUCACGACGAAAGGAUGCCACGGAGAAAGAAAAAAGUUAAAGAAGUCUCCGAAUCUCGGAACCUGGAGAAGGAGGAUGUGGAAACUACCAAUUCUGUCACUGUGAAGAGGAAGCGUAGACUUGAGGAUGCAUUCAUUGUGAUAUCCGAUAGUGAUGGAGAGGAACCAAAGGAGGAAAAUGGAUUGCAGAAAAUGAAGACAAAACAGUCGAAUAGAGCAAAGUGUUUGGCCAAAAGAAAAAUUGCACAGAUGACAGAAGAAGAACAGUUUGCUCUGGCUCUCAAAAUGAGUGAGCAGGAAGCUAGGGAGGUGAACAGCCAGGAGGAGGAAGAAGAGGAGCUCUUGAGGAAAGCCAUUGCUGAAAGCCUGAAUGUAAAUAUGCCAUGUUGCCAAAGUUUGUGGAGAUUGAUCAGCAAUAUUUUCG
rnacentral:sRNA from 1 species